GAUGAACGCUGGCGGCGUGCCUAAUACAUGCAAGUCGAGCGAACGGACGAGAAGCUUGCUUCUCUGAUGUUAGCGACGGACGGGUGAGUAACACGUGGAUAACCUACCUAUAAGACUGGGAUAACUUCGGGAAACCGGAGCUAAUACCGGAUAAUAUUUUGAACCGCAUGGUUCAAAAGUGAAAGACGGUCUUGCUGUCACUUAUAGAUGGAUCCGCGCUGCAUUAGCUAGUUGGUAAGGUAACGGCUUACCAAGGCAACGAUGUAUAGCCGACCUGAGAGGGUGAUCGGCCACACUGGAACUGAGACACGGUCCAGACUCCUACGGGAGGCAGCAGUAGGGAAUCUUCCGCAAUGGGCGAAAGCCUGACGGAGCAACGCCGCGUGAGUGAUGAAGGUCUUCGGAUCGUAAAACUCUGUUAUUAGGGAAGAACAUAUGUGUAAGUAACUGUGCACAUCUUGACGGUACCUAAUCAGAAAGCCACGGCUAACUACGUG
rnacentral:rRNA from 1 species